CAUACCCGGACAGCCAAGGGCUGUUCGGGCAUGCUGAGAGUUGUAGUUUUGCAACAGCUGGAGGCUCCCUGCUUGGGAAACACUGACAUAUACAAUGAUUUACAGCUCCCAGCAGAUCUUUCUUACUUUUAUAUGAUUGUGACAGAUUCCACUGUUGAGCCAGAAUAUGAAAGAAAAGAUAGGACAGAAGACAGUGUUGGGUUGCCGUGUCUUACCAUGGGUGCGGUGAAGUCAAUGCAGUGUGUCACCACUCUGAGUAGAAGGAGACUUGGAAGGUGUUAAAAGGUUGAAAUUUGGCACCAAUUCUGGAGAUGACCUAGUGAGGGACCUACUGUGAAUGUGACCACUAAACACUUGUGCCUCAUCUGAGAACAUCAACCAUCAAGAUUCGGAUAACACUGUAUGUUAAAAAGUAUUAAAUACUUUUUAUGAUGCCCGGGGUAGGGAACCGUGCAAACCUGGACCUCACUUUAAUCCCUGUCCCUAAAUACUUAUAAAAUCCACCAAAGACGGCAGCCUCCAACUGGGUGAUGGCCCCUACAUUGGACUACGUGUUGUCACAUUGGGCAGGGAUUGAGUGAAGCCCUUAUCUUACCCACACCCUCUGCCCCUGCCUACUUGUGUACCCAUACUAAACAACGGGUCCACAGCCACAAGGAUGUUUCCUACCUAUAUACAUGCAGGGACGGACAGAGUCAAAACAAUAAAGUGCAAUACAGACAGAGUCGGGAACAGCUGGAGGCAAACAAAACCAACAAAAGUCAAUCUAAAGAAACACAGUCAAGUCAGAGUCAAACUAGCCAAGUCAGCAACAGUAGAUUAGCGAGGUACCAAUUCACUAGAACAGAAGAAAGGUCAAAAGACAAGCCAAGAUCAAUACACAGAAUACAGGGAACAACAAUGCUGGUUACUCAAACACGUUGGUUCACUGGCAACCGCAAACAGAGUGAGCUGGACUUAAGUAGCUAAGCUCACAGGUGCAGGCUCAGCCUGGUUAGCUGCUUACAGCCCAGAUUGGCUAAGGUGUAGCCAAGCAACCAGGCCAAGCCUACGCUCAGGGAAGAUUAACCCUUCGAGUUCUUAAAUGUGCCGGGGCAUCAGAGCAAUCCAAAGAGUUAGACGAGUAGGCAACACAUGGGCAACCUGAUACAAAAUCAACAAGCACACAACAGACAAUAACACAAUAACAUACUGGCGACAGAUUAAGGACAAGCAAUAGGUCAACCCUAGAUAGCGGUGUAGUACAAAGUCAGCAGGCAAAGAGUAGUCAGGUGAGGUCACAUGUAAAAGUAAGAAUGUACAGGUCUGGUCACAGAAUAACAGGAAACAAGAAACACCCAUGAAAAGGUAAGAACCUCUAUCGUGGGUGGAGUAGUAGUGCAGCUACUGAAUUUAAAUAAUCCUCCUCUGAGAGGUGUGAGCACCAGUGCCGCAGCUUAUUGGCCCAGUGCUCCCAUCUUCUAAUUGUCUGGCAAGUCAGGUCACACAUUGACAAAUAGUUUUGCAAUCAACAAAGUUGUCAGGAUGUUGGUAGAUGCUGCUGGGAGUCAGGCAAGGUCUGUAUAUGUAUGCAUGUAUGUUACAGAUGCAUUGACUAUGACAUUUUAUAAUAUAAUGCACAAUAUGUUCACUAUAUAUAGCUUAUACAUGUACUCUCAUUUAUGCAUUGUGUGUUAUCACUUAAAAUAUGUAAUAAAACUGUA